rnacentral:rRNA from 1 species
AUGACGGUACCUGAAGAAUAAGCACCGGCUAACUACGUGCCAGCAGCCGCGGUAAUACGUAGGGUGCAAGCGUUAAUCGCAAUUACUGGGCGUAAAGCGUGCGCAGGCGGUUAUGUAAGAUAGGCGUGAAAUCCCCGGGCUUAACCCGGGAAUUGCGCUUGUGACUGCAUAGCUAGAGUAUGUCAGAGGGGGGCAGAAUCCCACGUGUAGCAGUGAAAUGCGUAGAGAUGUGGAGGAAUACCAAUGGCGAAGGCAGCCCCCUGGGAUAAUACUGACGCUCAUGCACGAAAGCGUGGGGAUCAAACAGGAUUAGAUACCCUGGUAGUCCACGCCCUAAACGAUGCUGACUAGUUGUUCGGGAAUUUAUUCCUGAGUAACGUAGCCAACGCGUGAAGUCAGCCGCCUGGGGAGUACGGUCGCAAGAUUAAAACUCAAAGGAAUUGACGAGGACCCGCACAAGCGGUGGAUGAUGUGGAUUAAUUCGAUGCAACGCGAAAAUCCUUACCUACCCUUGACAUGCCACUAACGAAGUAGAGAUACACUAGGUGCCCGUAAGG